UUUCCGUAGGUGAACCUGCGGAAGGAUCAUUGUAGGAUUGUUUUGGGAGGGGUGGUUGUGACUUGUGGGGAUUGUGUGUGGUUGUUUGGAUUGCUUGGAUUGCUUGGAUUGCUUGGAUUGCCUGGCUGUCUGCAACUCGACUCGUCUCAUCACAACCACUCUUCACAUUGGCACAGACCAGUGGUCUGGUGUUUAGAGCACAGACUCGGUCUGGUGUUUAGAGCAACAGACUCGGUCUGAUGUUUGCGCUUGCUCGUUUGACAGAAACAGUACCAUAUCAUUGCAAAACUUUUAACAAUGGAUCUCUUGGCUCUU
rnacentral:misc_RNA from 1 species